rnacentral:rRNA from 1 species
GAUGAACGCUAGCGGCAGGCUUAACACAUGCAAGUCGAGGGGUAUAACACUUCGGUGUUAGAGACCGGCGCACGGGUGCGUAACGCGUAUGUAAUCUACCUUUUACAGAGGGAUAGCCCAGAGAAAUUUGGAUUAAUACCUCAUGGUAUUAUGGACAGGCAUCUAUUUAUAAUUAAAGAUUUAUCGGUAAAAGAUGAGCAUGCGUCCCAUUAGCUAGUUGGUAUGGUAACGGCAUACCAAGGCGACGAUGGGUAGGGGUCCUGAGAGGGAGAUCCCCCACACUGGUACUGAGACACGGACCAGACUCCUACGGGAGGCAGCAGUGAGGAAUAUUGGACAAUGGGCGCAAGCCUGAUCCAGCCAUGCCGCGUGCAGGAUGACUGCCCUAUGGGUUGUAAACUGCUUUUGUACAGGAAGAAACCCUUCUACGAGUAGAAGAUUGACGGUACUGUAAGAAUAAGGAUCGGCUAACUCCGUGCCAGCAGCCGCAGUAA